UAGGUACUUAAAAAUUAAAAAAUUUGGCGGUGAUUUAGUCUUGUUAGAGGAAUUUGUCUUUUAAUCGAUAAACCACGAAUUAUUUCACUUGUCCUUGUUAAAUAUACAGUUUGUAUACCAUCAUUAUCAGGUAAUUUUUAUAAAAUAAAAUUUCUGUGUUUAGUUAGUUAAAAAAAUUAGAUCAUGGUGCAGCUUAUGGAUAAGUUAAGAUGAAUUACAAUAAAUUAUUUUAUAACGGAUUAAUAGAUUAAAUUUUAUUAUAAAGGUGGAUUUAAUUGUAUUAUAGGUUUAAUAAGCCUGUGAGAAAUGAGCUCUAAAUCAUGUACAUAUCGCCCGUCGCUUUCAUUUAUAAAUGAAAUAAGUCGUAACAUAGUAGGUAUACUGGAAGGUGUAUCUGGAAUUA
rnacentral:rRNA from 1 species